UUCACACAAGACAAGACAACAACAAUGAACAACAUCCUCAUCCUCAUCUGGACCAUUGCAUCUUUUAUUCAAGCAUCCAGAGGAGUCACUUUGACUCAACCUGAAGUGAAAAAUGUCCAACAAGGUCAAACAGCUACAAUAGAGUGUCAGAUGGACAUCGGGAUACGCUACAACUACUUAGCCUGGUAUCAGCAGAAACCUGGAGAAGCUCCUAAACUUCUCAUAUAUUAUAUAAACACCCUCCAGUCAGGAACUCCAUCUAGAUUCAGUGGCAGUGGAACAAGAGAUACUGGACGAGAUUUCACUCUGACCAUCAGUGGAGUCCAGACUGAAGAUACAGGAGAUUAUUACUGUCAGAGUUAUCACUACAUCAACAGUAAAGCUGUGUGGACUUUCGGUGGAGGAACUAAACUGGUGCUCGCUGGUCCCACAGUGAAGCCCCUCAGUGUCUCUGCUGCCGCCCUCUUCUCUGCAGAUCUCUGGAGACUCAGCCGCACUGCUCUGCCUGCUCAGCUCUUACUCUCCACAGGGGGCGCUGGUGAGCUGGACACUGGACGGCUCAGAGGUCACCGAGGGGGUUGUGACCAGUGCAGAAAGUGAGCAGGACGGCCGCUACAGCCGCAGUAGUGUCCUGACCCUCA